rnacentral:tRNA from 1 species
GGAACAAUACCCAAGCGGCUCAAGGGGCGCCCCUGCUAAGGGUGUAGACUGGGAAACUGGUGCGAGGGUUCGAAUCCCUCUUGUUCCGCCA